UACGUAGGGUGCGAGCGUUGUCCGGAAUUAUUGGGCGUAAAGAGCUCGUAGGCGGCUUGUCACGUCGGGUGUGAAAGCCCGGGGGCUUAACCCCGGGUCGUGCAUUCGAUACGGGCUAGCUAGAGUGUGGUAGGGGAGAGUCGGAAUUCCGUGGUGUAGCGGUGAAAUGCGCAGAUAUCAGGAGGAACACCGGUGGCGAAGGCGGAUCUCUGGGCCGUUACCUGACGCUCAGGCGCGAAAGCUAGGGGAGCGAACAGG
rnacentral:rRNA from 1 species